rnacentral:rRNA from 1 species
CCUACGGGAGGCAGCAGUAGGGAAUUUUCCACAAUGGGGGCAACCCUGACGCAGCAACGCCGCGUGAGUGAGGAAGGUCUUCGGAUUGUAAAACUCUUUUAUUUGGGAAAAAUGUCUUUGUGGCUAAUAUCCAUAGAGAGUGAUGGUACCAAAGGAAUAAGGACCGGCUAACUUCGUGCCAGCAGCCGCGGUAAU